rnacentral:lncRNA from 1 species
UAACUUUUUUUGAGAGAUGAGAAUCCUUAUUUAACCUAAAAAAUAGAAAAAAUAAAUAUAAUAAGUAGGAAAAGGAGUAAAAUAUUCUUCUAAAUUGUACAAUAUUUAUAUAAAUGAUGCAACAUUUAUUUUAAUGCAAACUGCAGUAUUUGCAUAAAUAGUGUCCAAAUACUAUUAAAUUAAUAAGGUAAAUAAUUUAUCAUGUUCAAUACUAUUACAUGAACGUAGUAAAUGAUUUAUUGUGUUAAUGAAAAAUAUUUAGCUGAUCUUUUGUUGUCCAGCGUGGCACGUAUGUGGACAUCAAUCACAUCAUAGAAUUAUUUAUAAUUUUAAAAUUUUAUAGCGUUAAUUAUGUAAUAAAAUUUUUUAAAGGGGCUAAAUGCCAAACUCUUACCAAAGUUACAAAUGCAAAAAUUACAAUACUGACCAAAUCAACUGAAAUUAGUAUGUUUGGUUUAGUUUUUACAUAUAAUAUUUUUGGCAUUUGUAAUUGAAUAGAAACGAUCGAUUGAUUUUUUUUAAAAAAAAAUCAAUCCUUAAGAAAAUUAUAUUUAAAUAAGUAAUCUUGUUAAAAAUUUAUUUGGUUAGAUAGUUUUAUUUUGUUCAACUCAAUACUAGGGUGAAACAAUAAUUGGAAGAUGAUGAUUCACCGUUUCUUUUCUAUUUUUUUUAUAUAUUAUCGUAACAAAUACAAAAAAAAUUCCAUCAAAUUACAUUUAAUCCUCACAACCUAAAAAAACUCCAAAAACUUAUAUAUACAGUCUUAAAAAUUCACAUAAAAUCUUACACUAUUUAAGUUGACAGUACUUCAGAACACGUGUCAUGAGCACAUUAGCCCAUUCCACGUGUCGAGUUGUAGGUGUUAUAGAAGUUGGAGCUCUCUCACUCCCCUCUCUUCCAGCUGUCACACUUACACCACGUCAUCAAUAACAAAAGUAUAAUAAAAAUAUUUUUUUACAAUCAUGAUGGGACAUAUACCCCUAAAAGGAAAUAUUUGAUUGGUUUGUUAUGCCACGUCAUCAAUAUGCCCGUUGCAUUUUAGCCGACCCCCCCCCCCCCCGCCUUUUUUCUCACUCUCUCUUCCACCUCCUACAUUGUCCCUCUUUCUCACUCUCUCUUCCACGUCACCAAUAUACAUGUUUCACUGAAAAAGUCUACAGAUAAAUGUGUCUUUAUUAUUAUUAUUUUUUUUUAAGCGAAGUUCUUAGACGUUGCUCCUAAAAUUUUCCAGACAACUCAUAAUUUUUUUUAAAAUCUUAUUUUCUACAAACUAAAGGCUAAAUCAUCCCUUUGAUAUUUUACUUAGUAAUCUUUGGAUUUUUUAUUUUUAAUGAAUUUAUUAAAUAAAAUUUUGACAUUAAAAAUAUUUUUUUUUCUUAAAAUUUUCUAUUUUUCUGUGAAUUUGCAUGAUUUUUAAAAAUUUAGAUUUUAUAAAAAUAAUUAGCAAAAUUAUGUUUGAUUUAGGUGUCUAUUAAAAUUUAAUAAUUUUUUAUAUAGAUUUUUUUCUUUUUUUUUAGUUUUUCAAUAUAAAAUUUGAUUUUUACAUAAUUUUUUCACUAUGUUUUGUGAUUUCUACAUAAUUUUUUUAGGUGAAUAUCUAAGCUAUCUUGCACUCUAAAGCAAGUAUAUGAAAGCUAUUAAAAUUUUUAUUUUGUGAAUAAAAUUAGUGCUAAUAUGUUCGAUUUAAAGAGUUUUUAAUCAGAGUUUUAUUUAGUUAUUUUUUUGUUACAAAAUAUUUUAAUCUAUCGAGUAAUAUUUUGGUAUUCAAUAAAAUAUUUUAAAAAUUUUACCAAUUUCAAAAGAAACAUACUAUUUGGUGAUAAAAAUUUUCUUCUCUCUUUUAUUUUUUAAUAUUCUUUUGGAAUAAAAAAUUUUCUUCUCUCUUUUAUUUUCUAAUAUUCUUUUGGAAUAACAAAUUUUCUUCCCUCUUUUAUUUUCUAAUAUUUUUUUUAAUAUUAGAGUUUCUCUUUUUUUUCUAUUUUUUCUUAUAUUAGAAUAAAAUUUUUUUUUUUUCUUUCCCUCUCCCCUCUCUGUCAUAUGGAGUUAUAUAUCUCUCUCCCCUCCUCUCUCUAUCAUGUCUUAUAAUAUCUUAUUAUGAUAAUCUAUAUAAACUCUUUCUCUUCUUUUUAUCAUAUUUUAUAAUAUUUCAUAAUAAUCUGUAAGAUCUCUGCUUUUUUUUUCUCUCUUUUCCCAUUUUCUCUUUCUCUCUCUUCAUCUCUCUAUCUCUCUAUCGCGUAUAAUAUAUAAAAUCUUUCCAAAUAACUCUCUUCUAGAUAGUUAUUAUGUCUAAGAAUUAUAACUUUCACUUUUACAAUUUUUUCUCUAUUCCUACAUAUUUUUAUAAUAUCAUAUUCUAUGAAAUCUCACAAAAUUUUUUCAAAAUUUUUAUUAAUCUUUUCUCCUUGUCACAACUAUUAAAUUUUUAUAAUUUUUCUUCACCUCUUUCUUCCUAUUUUAUCUCCUUCUUAUAAUUUUUUGGUUAGGUUAUGUACUUUCUCUAAGACUCUUAUUUACAUUCUUUUAAUUUCUUUUUUAUUUUAUAUUCCCACUAACAAAAAUAAAUAUAAUUUUAUUUCUUUCAACCAAACAAAUGUUGAUAAAAUUUUUUUUUUUACAAACCGAACACUAUUGUUCUAUAAAAUAUUCUAUUUUCCUUAUCGAUAAAAAACUUUUAUUUUUUUCACUUUUUUCCAAAAAAAAUACUAUUUUUUUAUGGUUUUACUUCCAAUUAAACAUCCCCUUAGUUGUUAUUUUUUAAGUAUUAGUUUUUUUUUUUACAUUAUUAUUAUUAUUUCUGCUUAAUUAUUUGACCGAAAGCAUUAUAUUUAUAUUAGAAUAAAUAUUAUAAUUUUAUAUUCGAAUAUAAAAUUUUAUUUUUUUAUAUCUAUCCAUAGCAAAGCGCGACUGCUUCACUAGUUUUAAUAAUCUCAAUCAAAUUCUCACAACCCGAAACAGUGAAUGAUUCACUGCUAAAGACGGUAAAUGAUUCAACGUCUAUUAUUUCUCCUCCAUAUGGAGCUCAGUGCGGACAAAAUUAAGUUAAUUUGUUAAUUAAAAUUUUGAUAAAAUUAUUUAAUAAAUUAUUUUUUAGGGUUAAUUUUACACAACUCCCUAUAAAUAUAUAGAACAGCAAAUAUAUCAUUAUAAAAUUUAAUAUUUCAUAGUUAUCCCUGUAAAAAUUCAGUGAUAUUUAUAUUUACCUUCUGGUUUGUUAUCAUUAAAGCACUGUUUAUUUUUUAUCAGAAGAUAAGCGAAAUGACAUAUUUACCAUCACAAAUGUCUUUCUUAAAGUCUCAACUAUUAGAAUUAUACAAAAAUAUCCUUCGAAAAAUUUCUAACAGUUAUUUUUUUUUUCUACUAUCACAAAUAAUAUAAGAGGGGUAAAAAAGUCAAUUUACCAUAUUUACUAAGGUUAAAUAUUUUACCUAUAAUUAAUUAUGUUUUUCUAUCAAAUUCUAAUUAUGGAGACAAAUUUAAAAAUAUUAAAAUUUUUGUAGGAAUAAAUAUAAAAAAUUAACUUUGUAGAUCUUUACAGAGCUCUAUGCUAAUCCUUUGGUUUAAAGAUUUUCUGUGAGAGAAAAAAAAAAAAAAGAAAAAGCUUGAACUGAUGUUGCUCACCCCUCCGUACUCCGUAGGGCCACAUUUCGCAUUUAUUUUUCCCUAAAUUUUUUUGUUAAUAGUCAUUUGCGUAAUAAAAGGUUUUGUGGGGGGUCUAAAUGCGAAAAAAAAAAAAAAAUCCCUUUCCUUCCCAAUUCUCCACUUUUCGCUCCCUCGCUCCCCAACACGACGCGAGAGAGAGAGAGAGAGAGUAAGAGAGAGAAAGAGUAGAGAGAGAGAGAGAGAGAGAGAGAGAGAGAUGAUAUGGGAUACCAUAUCAUGGGGCUUCGUCUCCUCCUCUUCUUCAUCUCCACCCACACCGUAAUCUCCGCCUCCGCAGGUACAAUUACCCCCCCUCUCUUUCUCUCUACAACCCUAAUCUUGGAUCUCCAGAAGCUUCGCUUCUGUACUGAUUUAACACUAACUGGAUUAUAAGCUACAACAGUUUUCCAUGUCUUCCCGUUUCUUGAUCUUGCAAGAACACCAGGAACCCCUUUGUUUUAGUUCUUGCUCUUACAAAAUAAGGGGGAAAAAAGGUUUUUGAUUAUUAGAUUAGUCGGGUUUUAUGUUCUUGCUUGAAUUGUUGUGAGCUUUUGUUGUUUUAAGCAGAUAGGAGUAGAAAAGGAGAGAUUUUGUGUUCUUACGCUCAAAAAUAAACAACAAAUAGGGUUUUUUGAUUACUUGAUUGGUUGUUCUUUGUUUUUGCGUGAAUUGUUGUGAGUGUUUGUGGGUUUAAGUAGAUAGGAACCUGAAAGGAGAGAUUUUGAGUUCGACCUCCGUUCUUUCGCUAAAAAAUAAACAAAGAAAGGACUUUUUUGAUUACUUGAUUGGUUGUUUUUUUUGCUUUUGCUUGAAUAAUUGUUAGUGCUUGUGGUUUUAAUUAGAUAGGAACCUAAAAAGAGAGAUUUUGAAUUCGUCCUCAGUUCUUGCACUCAAAAAUAAGAAAAAAGAAGGGGUUUCUCUUUUGUUAUUAGAUUGGUUGUUCUUUAUGGUUUUGUUUGAAUUGUUGUGUGUUUGUGGGUUUAAGAAGAUAGGAACCUAAUAGGAGAGAUUUUGAGUUCAACCUCACUUCUUGCACUCAAAAAAUAAGAAUAAAGAAGGCGUUUCUCUUUUGUUACUAGAUUGGUUGUUUUUUAUGGUCUUGUUUGAAUUUGUAAAUUUUGGGGUGCCCAAGGAUCUAUCUAAAUUGUAUCCAACACCUAGAGGGAGGUGAAUAGGUGUAACGGCCAAAAAACCACAAAUCUCGAUGCAAUAAAAGUAAAUGCAGAAAAUAAAAAUCACACCGAAAUUUACGUGGGAAAACUCCAACUUGAAAAAAAACCCAUAGGACCAACACGCGAAAAAAUAAUUCACUAAGAAAAAAUAUUACAAGAAGAUUACCGACUCCACGGACUCGACCUCUCUUAACCUCUUACGAAUCUCGCGCAAUCCUCCGGGUUGUCCACACCCUCACAUUCGAAUCCACGAACGCCUCGCACACGUCCGAAUCCACGAACGCCACUAGAAUCCACGAGCACACGAUCCGAAUCCACGAACCGCCUUCAAUCACGCCGAAUCCACGACGCCGUCCAUGAAGAACAUCAUGAUUAUGGUGAUCUUUUGCUUAGAGUAUCGUUGAAAACCAGAGAAGAAACUCCAAGCGAAGUUUAGAUCAAUUCGACAUAUAGAUAGGAAUUUCAAUACUUCGAAUUGACCUAAAAGAGGCUAUUUUGUAGAAAAUAGGUUUUUGAUGAAUUCCGAACCUCUAGGGUUUCUCAAACAUAUAUUUUCGUGAUGCUUUAUGUGUUAGAGAACCCCAAUAGCUUAUUUAUAGACUCUAGAAUCAAUUAGAGUCGGAUUUGAAAGUUUUUCGGAUUUUUACAUUGUGUACCGGUACAUUUUUAAGCUGUUACCGGUUACAUGAUGACGGAACAGAAAACCUGCGAAACUCUGUAACCGGUGACAUGUCGCUGGUUGUACCGGAACAUAGUUUGUACCGGUACACUUUCAAUGCUGUACCGGUACACUUUGCAAUUUCCUGAAUUUUCACCGUUUCUGGUUUCGCAAAGUUCCGACGCACUUUCUAAUUCAGUAAAUUUUGAUUUUCUGAUUCUAAUGCCUACAACUAAGUAUGAAUCACCAUAACAUGAAUUAACACUUUACGUGAGGAUCGUGAUUCACGUCGUGAGUUAUUUUUCGAUUUUUUCGAAGUGUUGGAUUCUUCGAUCUUCGACGAUACGCACUGAUCCUUCAAGACUCCGACUCACUUCACGAAACUUGCCAACAUACAAGACUUAACAAUCUUCCUCUUUGGCAAUUUCGUGACAAAACUCACAAACUGAAAAUUAUGUAAUAAGAAUCGAAGUUCAAUUGUCAUCACCAAAACAUUGAACUCCUCGCAUGUGAUCCAAAUACAAUAUGAAACUUAAAAAUACAUCAAAACUCCUAAAACAGACUAUGACUUAGACGCAACUAGGAGUCUUGAAGUCUUGAUUUCCUGCAAAACAAUUUAUCCAAAGAUGAUAUCUCGAUUUGAAACCAUUGGAUUUUUAUACCUUUCAAUGUCAUUAUCUCAUUAUCAUUGUCCUCGAUCACUUCUCCCCCUUUGUUCUUGAGUUCUUCCUCUGCUUCAAUCAAAAAUACCUGUUCAUCUGUGAUCUCCCCCUUUUUGUCAAAAAUUGCCAAAAGAAAGUAUAUAGAGAGAAAACAUACUAAAAAGCAGAAAACUAGUCAAGUCAUAGAUACAGGCCUAAAAGCAAAAAUAAGCAAACUAAACAGUCUUAGGAGAGAAAAGAUAAAACAUAGAUAAUGAAGCUCAAAAAGGUAAGAUCACUCCGUGUCCUCAUCAUCAUCAUCAUCACCUGCUCCAGCUCCAGAUCCCCCUGCCUCAGGAGCACUAGUCGACAGUGGAAUGAGCGGAUGUCUCGACGUCGACCUCGUGUAGGUAGGAUGGGUAGGAAAUAUGUCGUCAUGCCUACAUCCUAGCUUCUCCAAAACCCUCUUCAACCCUACUUCCAACUUUUUGCCAAGUUCUCCCACCCUGCCGCAUAUAGGUCUCAAAUAAAUAAGUCCCUGUCUCCUCAUCCUUAGCAAGCACCCUCCCGUUCGUGUAGAACUCUCAAAUGAGUUCCACACAAAAAGGAGAUCGAGCCGGAACAUGUCCAACAGGCUAGAUGGGGACCCUCUGAAGCAGUUGGCCGAAAUCAGGAACCUCCUUGAUGAGUUCAGUAAAGUUGACAUAUCUUUCGGCGAUGCAUGACCUGCUUGAGAAUGUCCUCCGCCGCUCCGGUGGAACAUCCGCGGCUUGCUUUGAGCGACUCUUUCGUGCACGAGAGCCACCUCCGCGUGAUGAUUCUCCAGCUAUGCCUUUCCCUUUGUCAGUUGGAGCAAUCGGUUCUGCAGUAGCCUCCGGAGAGCUCGCUUGGUAAUCUGGAUCAGACUCGGACGACUCGCCUGCAGUACGAGUCCUCUUGGAGGCCCCUCGACGGCCUCGACCACGUCCUCGACCACGACCAGUGGCCAUUAGCACCAACAGCAGCAGCACGAACGAGAAUGCCACUUUUCCUACAUAACAAAUGAGCCCUGUAUGAAGAAAAUCCGGAAAAUUCUGUAAAAAUAGCGAAAAAAUUUCUAAUAAUAUUAGAAUGAAUAACAAUGCUAUUUCUAACUAAAUCAUGCAAAUUUUUUCAUCAAAGAUUGAUUUUCAUCAAAAAUCCCGAAAUUCCAUGUAUAUAGAGGUACAGAUCAAAGAUCAGCAAAAAAUACAGCGUUAUAACCUGAUCUAAGUGUUCUAGAAGCAAGAUUAUAUGUCUAAAUACUGAUUCACAGCAAAAAAUUGCAUANUUUUUCAUCAAAGAUUGAUUUUCAUCAAAAAUCCCGAAAUUCCAUGUAUAUAGAGGUACAGAUCAAAGAUCAGCAAAAAAUACAGCGUUAUAACCUGAUCUAAGUGUUCUAGAAGCAAGAUUAUAUGUCUAAAUACUGAUUCACAGCAAAAAAUUGCAUAAAAAACGAAUCAAAACAGAGAUCAUGCUUCAACUCGAAAUUUUUCGAAAAAAAAUAGCAAAAAUCGGGAUUAGAUCUUCAAAUUUGAGCAAAAUACUUACAAAUCGUUAGGAAAAACGAGUAGAUCUGGAAGAGAAGGUCGCCUGGGAACUUUAGAGAGAGAGGGAGAGAUUUGAUAAGGAUUUGAGAGAGAAUAAAACCCUGUGACCGGUUAUAACAAACGCGGCACAGUGAUUUGUACCGGUACACGGUAUUUUGUACCGGUACACUUUCCUAGAUUUCAAAAAUUUUGAAUUUUUUCCUUCAAAAAUCCGUCAAAAUUAAAUUAAUUUUAUAAAAAUUAAAGAUUGUACUCCAAAAAUCAUUAUGAUGAAGAUAAAAUAUUAUAGGAUUUCAAAAUACAUCAAAACAUCAAAAUUUGGCAAUAAAAAAUAAUCUAAUGAUUCAAAACCAUCAAGAUGUAAUGUUGAUGAAAAAUGAUUUUUAGAAAUUCGGCAAAAUUGACUUCCAAUUUGUCGCAACUUGUUCAAAAUAGAGAUUUAACUAAUAUGGCAUCGGGGGUGGCUCUUUGAGCAUCUUUUCAUCCUACUACCUUAUACCUCCGAAAAUUCUAAUAUAUAUAUAUAUUUUUUCCAACGUUUUCGGUUAUUCCAUUAAUUUCCAUGUGGUAGCUUCGCACACUUGCCGGACGACCGGGGUGGUAGCUCUUUCCUACAUGUAGUGGUAGUUUUCACACUCCUUUUGAGUAUAACUCUUUCCACAUCUUUUAAAUAUAGGAGUUUUUUUUUUUUUUUUUAAAUAAUUCAAACUCCCCCUAAAUUAGACAAUCUCACAAUUGAAAAUAAUUUUGACGAAUUUUAGUCAAUUAGAGAAUAUCCAUCCAUCAUAUCCAACACACACAACCAAGAUGAAUUAAUCACCAAGAGAUCAAAAUUGAUUUCAAAAUUUUGAUGAAUAUAUGUAUUAAGAAUUCCUAUAUUAAAUUAUCGUCAAAAUAAUAAAAGUGGAGUAAAACCGAUAAUUAAUAUGAAUUUAACUUAAUAUGAAUGUAAAGUUAAAUACCGUUUAAAGCACUUUGAAAAAUUUAAUCUCCCCAAAAUAAUGAUUUUCAAUCAUCUCCUUUCUCAAAGAAAGUUUUUAAAUUCCCAAACACCUUUCCUCAAAACGAUUUUUAAACAAAUAAAAUUCAAGCACAAAAAAUCGUCCAAACAUGUAAUGCAAUGAAUACAAAUAUGCAAUAAGCACCAAACAAAGCAUUACAUAAUCAAUCAAAACAAACUUAAGACAAAGAACAAGGAAAGAUAUCACCUUUCCGGAUCCACACUUGUCGGAUAGUAGGUUGUCUUGGCUUAUCGACGUUUGGUACGGUUUGCUUUGAUUUUUGAUCCACCGUAGAUUGCUUCGUUGUAGGUGACUUCGAUUGAAGUUGCCGGUGAGAUUUAGAAUUCCGGUUCCCUUGAGGCUUCGGUCGGACUUCACAUUGCGCAUUAGAAAUCCGGUUUGCUUGUGGUACUCGACGAACUUGAUUUUUCUUUUGAUUCCGUGGGGGAAGUUAAGUUGUAGAUGAUACCGAUUGAUGUUUCGAAGUUACCAAUAGAUUCUUCUUUGUCUUGUUCGGGCAACUCUUUUUGAUGUGUCCUUUGAUACCACAUCUAUGACACACCUUCUCUUUCGAAGUUGUUGAGACUUUAUGUAUUACCUUUUGAUCCUUCUCAACAUACGUUCUUUCAUAUCCGAGGCCCAACUUGCUCGUUUGACCCAAUCCAAGCAUAUGGUCCAAUUUCUUCGAUCCCAAAGAAAAUUUUUGAAUAUCGGAUUGGAGUUGACGAACUUGAUCGGUCAAUGACUUGUUGGAUGUGUACGAUUCCUCAAAUUGUUGCUCCAAAAAUCCAACUUUAUCUUUAUAGGAUUUGAUCGUUAAUUCCGCUUCAUCACGCUUCUCUUGGAGGAUUGAAUUGUCUUUCAAUGUUCAUUCCCUUUCCUCCUCGAGAAAUUUAUUCAUUGUCUUCAAGUUGUUGUUUUUCUCUUCGAGAUCCAACAAACGACGCCUCAACUUCUUAUUAAGUUUCGCCAUCUUCUUCGAUUCAAUAAAAAGUUGAUUAUACGCUUCUGUUAAAUCCUCGUCGUUUGAUUCCUCCUCGCUUUCACCAUCAUCGCUCGAAGUACCAUGCAAGGAAGGAGAAACACUAGAAUUAGACACAAUAGAGGAUAAACAAACAACAUUAGACGAAGGAAAAGAAGUGUUAGUAAAUAAAACAAGAUUUUAAUUCUUUUCUUCGUCACUUGAAGAUGAUUCACUCGAAGUAGAGUCAUCCCAAGUUUUAGCUUGCAAAGCCUUUUGUCUAUAAGUCUUCUUAGAUGGACAAUCCGUUGCAAUGUAACCGUAGCCUUUAUAUUUGUAGCAUUGGAUUUUUCCUUCAAAUUCAUCUUUUUGUUUUGAAGACUUUGCAAAUUUCUUAUCCUUAGAUUUAGAAGAUGAAGAUGAUUUAGAAAAAGAUUGUUGCUUAGACGAUGAAGCUUUGUCCGAUUUAAUCUUCCAAAAAUUCCGUCGGAACUUCUUCGUUAGGAGCGCUAAUUGAUGUUCGAAAUUGGCGAGCGAAAUAUCCCCGUCGGAAUCGAGUCAUCGUCUUCUUUCUUUGUUGAUUUAAGUGCAACCCCUGUACUUUUAGAAGAAGACUCGGAAGAAGAUUGGUUAGUAGGAAAAAUCAUCUCAUAAGUUUGCAAAGUAUCUAUUAACUCUUCGACUUUCAUCUCGUUCGGAUGCUUUACGGUUUUGAUUGCGGCAACUUUUGCCCGAAAGCGUUCCGGAAGAGUCCGAAGAAUUUUUCUAACAACUUUAGCAUUUGGGAUUCUCUCCCAAGUUCGCACAUGUAUUAACAACGUCUUGUAGACGCGUAUAGUACUCAGUAAAGGUCUCGUUUUCUUUCAUAAAAAUCGAGUCAAAUUUGCUUGUUAACAUUUACAAUUUUUGGAUCUUUACUAAGCUAGUUCCUUCAUGCGUAACUUGUAGAGUAUCCCAAAUUUCCUUUGACGUUUCACAUGCCGAAACGCAAGUAAACUCCGUUUGAGACAAUGCAUUAAAUAAAGCGUUUAUGUCCUUGCCGUUAAACGAAGAUGACUCAUUCUCAUCUUUUGUCCACUUAUUUCUCGGUUUCGGGACGGUAGCAUUAUCGACAACUUCGGUUGGAUGUUUCCAUCCGAAUUCAAUUGCUUGCCAUACCCGCUCAUCGAUUGCAAUUAGAAAAGCUCUCAUGCGAACUUCCAAUAGGCAUAAUUCGUGUCAUCGAAGAGAGGUGGUCGAUUAAUGUUACCGCCUUCGCCCAUUAGAUAUCAAUUUAUCUAGAUCUCUCUCUGAUACCAAUUGUAAAUUUUGAGAUGCCCAAGGAUCUAUCUAGAUUGUAUCCAACACCUAGAGGGGGGUGAAUAGGUGUAACGGUCAAAAAAUCACAAAUCUCGAUGCAAUAAAAAUAAAUGCGGAAAAUAAAAAUCACACCGAGAUUUACGUGGGAAAACUCCAACUUGGAAAAAAUCCCACGAGACUAACACGCGAAAAAAUAAUUUACUAAGAGAAAAGACUACAAGGUGAUUACCGACUCCACGGACUCGACCUCUCUUAACCUCAUACGAAUCUCGCGCAAUCCUCCGGGUUGUCCACGCCGUCACGUUCGAAUCCACGAACGCCUCACACACAUCUGAAUCCACGAAUGCCACUCGAAUCCACGAGCACACGAUCCGAAUCCACGAACCGCCUUCAAUCACGCCGAAUCCACGACGCCGUCCAUGAAGAACAUCAUGAUUAUGGUGAUCCUUUGCUUAGAGUAUCGUUGAAAACCAGAGAAGAAACUCCAAGCGAAGUUUAGAUCAAUUCGACAUAUAGAUAGGAAUUUCAAUACUUCGAAUUGACCUAAAAGAGGCUAUUUUGUAGAUAAUAGGUUUUUGAUGAAUUCCGAGCCUCUAGGGUUUCUCAAACAUAUAUUUUCGUGAUGCUUUAUGUGUUAGAGAACCCCAAUAGCUUAUUUAUAAACUUUAGAAUCAAUUAGAGUCGGAUUUGAAAGUUUUUCGAAUUUUUACAUUGUGUACCGGUACACUUUUAAGUUGUUACCGGUUACACGAUGACGGAACAGAAAACCUGCGAAACUCUGUAACUAGUGAUAUGUCGCUGGUUGUACCGGAACAUAGUUUGUACCGGUACACUUUCAAUGCUGUAUCGGUACACUUUGCAAUUUCCUGAAUUUUCACUGUUUCGGGUUUCGCAAAGUUCCGACGCACUUUCUAAUCCAGUAAACUUUGAUUUUCUGAUUCUAAUGCCUACAACUAAGUAUAAAUCACCAUAACAUGAAUUAACACUUUACCUGAGCAUCGUGAUUCACGUCGUGAGUUAUUUUCCGAUUUCUUCGAAGUCUUGGAUUCUUCGAUCUUCGACGAUACGCACCGAUCCUUCAAGAUUCCGACUCACUUCACGAAACUUGCCAACACACAAGACUUAACAGAAUUGUUGUGAGUGUUUGUGGGUUUAAGUAGAUAGGAACCUAAAAGGAGAGAUUUUGAGUUCGACCUCCAUUCUUUCACUCAAAAAUAAACAAAAAAAGGACUUUUUUGAUUACUUGAUUGGUUGUUUUUUUUGCUUUUGCUUGAAUAGUUGUUAGUGCUUGUGGUUUUAAGUAGAUAGGACCUGAAAGGAGAGAUUUUGAAUUUGGUUUCCAUUCUUUCACUAAAAUUUUUUUUAAAAAAAUAGCGUCUUUUGAUUACUUGAUUUGUUGUUUUUUUUUGUUUUUGCUUGAAUUGUUGUUAGUAUUUGUGGUUUUAAGUAGAUAGGAACCUAAAGGGAGAGAUUUUGAGUUCGUCUUCUGUUCUUGCACUUAAAAAUAAAGAAAUAAAUAGGGUUUUUUGAUGGACUUUUUUAUGAAAUAACCUUUUAAAAUUUUAUUAUUUGCAAAAUAACUUUGCGAAAAUUAUAUUUGAAAAACUAAUCUCUUAAAGACGGUGAAUGGUUCACCGCCUUCAUAAAGACGUGAACGAUUCACCGCUUUCGUGAUUUCUUAGAAAAGCGGUGAAUCAUUCACCGCCUUUCUACGGUUUCUUUCUAUACACCUAACAACCACAUAAAUAUUUCAACAAUCACAUAUAAUCUUAACAACCUGAAAAUUCUAAUAAUCUAUCCAUACAAUCCUAACAAUCAAAAAGAUCCUAAUAAUCUAUCGAUACAAUCGGAAUAAUCAAACAUCACAUAUAAUCUUAACAAUUUGAAAAUCCUAAUAAUAUAUCCAUAUAAUCCUAACAAUCAAAAAAAAUUUAAUAAUCUAUCCAUACAAUUAUAACAAUCAAACAAAAAUUCUAAUAUUCCACACACAAUCCUAACAAUUUUACUUUUUUUAUUUCUCGUAUAAUCUACGUACAAUUUUAACAACCUCAUUUUUUUCUCUUUCUCAAAAAUUAUGAAGAAGAUGAUGAAUGAUUCACCGUCUUUAAAAGACCUUAGAGACUUUCAGAAUGCGGUGAAUGAUUCACCACGUUUCGAGAAUUAAUUUGCCAAAUAUAAAUUUUAGAUGGUUAUUUUGUAAAAAAGUCCUUUUUUGAUUACUUGAUUGGUUAUUCUUUUGUCUUUGCUUGAAUUGUUUUAAGUUUUUAUACUUUUAAUAAUUUAGGAACCUAAAAGGAGAGAUUUUGCAAUGGUUAAGGGCUAAACAUAAGUCAGCCGUAGUGUUUGCACUUCAAAAAUAAGGGAAAAAAAAGGGUUUUUUGAUCCUUGAUUUUUUUUCCCUGCAUUUUUUGCUUGAAUUUUUGUAAUUAUUUGCAGCUUUACGUAGAUAGGAAUCCAAAAGGAUAGAUUUUGCAGUGGUGAUGGGGCUAAACAUAAUGGGGUGAGGAGUCCAGGAUCUCUAUAUUUUGGUUUUAGUAUCAUAAAUUAGUUGCCGAAGUUGAGGGAUUUUAGCAUGGAUGGUGGAAAUUAUUGCGAGUGCUUGUGGUUUUAAACAGGUAGGAACUUAGGGCCUGUUUGGCAACCCUAAAAAACAGAGUUCUGAGUUAAAUACACUAUUUUUUAAACAGUACAGGAUCUUAUUUUUUUCUUUUGCAGAAUGGUUGUUUGGGUACUUUUAGUAUUGUCAAACUUACAGCAAAAAAAAUUGCAAACAGUAAUUUUUGGGAAAUUGUAACAUCCACUCAUUUUUUUUGUAAAAAAAUUGCUCUAUUCGUCAGGCGGUUGUUGCUUUUUCAGUUGUUUAUCAGUUUGUGAUUUCUACGGUUAAGUGUGUGAGUAGAGUUUCUCGGUAUUUUAGGUGAUGAUGAGGAUGCUAGCUAGGUUCAGCAGUGCAGUUCCAAUUUAUCUUGUGACUUGUAGAAACUAUAUUUGGGCCUUGAGUGUUCGGCAUCAUCAAAAUUGUCGAAGAUUUAUGCCUUUCGUAAACUCUGAUUUUUGUUAAUGAGAAUCUUAUGAGGAAAUGGGAAUAAAUGCUGCGCGACAAUUUUAAAGUGGUUCUAGUUUUAGACUAUCUUCCAUAUAGGCUGAGUGACUCCAGUUGAGGUUGGAUCUAGAAUUUUUGCACUUAUAUUUAUACAUCUAAGGAAUUUUCUUUGAAAACCAUGGUGCCAACUCAUAAUUUGAUUAAAAUCUUGGAAUCUUCAAAAAAAAAAAUGCAGUACUAGAGUGAACUAAGUAGCCAAUAUUGAAAUAUGUAUGCGAGUAAUGCGAGUAUUAAGACUAAUGCGAAAUAUGUAUGCAUAAGACUAAUGCAAGUAAUAAACCUGUUUAUUGAAUGCAUUUUUGCAACUCCCGGAAGUAGAAGCCAGGGUCAUGUCAAACCACACAUAUUCAUACAAAGUAAAACACUGAGACCAGUAGUUCACUUUAUCCAUUUCUGCAAUCGGGGCCCUGUAGUAUUUAAAUGCUUCAUUCCUGAAAUGAGAUUAAUUUCAAAUAUUUUGAUUUAUUUGAAGUCAAAUUCAGUUAUUUAGAUUGCUUUUCUGAUUUAAUAUUCAAACGAGAAAUUAACUAUCAUCCAGUCCACUAAUCAGGUAUGCAUCUAGUAAUGCAACUGGGAUGGGUCUUUCAUUUGAAAUUUCGUGGUACUUUUUUCAGUGUGGCAUUAAAGAGUCUAAGUUUAAUUCUGUUGAAAAUCUGUGACAACUAAAUGUGCAAAGUUCUCUUUAUUGAGGUAAUACAAUGCAGAUGCAUCAGCAUCAACCCUUUUAUCUUGUUUAAAAUAAAUUGUGGAUGAGACUGGUGUUAUCAGAAUUGAACCAAACCACUGGUCAAAUAGGAUGAAGUGAUCUUUCAUUUUUAGACAAAAAUAAGUAAAUAAAGGACAAAACACUGUUAGUCUAGAACAAUCAAGUAUUAAAAAAGAAAGUGUGCGAACUACAUAGUUGAACCAGUUUUUGUAAAAGAGUUGCAUAUUGUGUCAUUAGUGAUCUACUUUAUGUAAGUAGUUUUAGAUAUAUUAAUGGAGUGCCCAUCAACUUCUUAACGAUUUAAACUGGCUUUGGCACGAUUCCCGUGCAUUAGGGGUUUGUCCUUAUUUCUUCUACAUACGGUAUAAAGAAAGGAUUGGUAGGCUCGUCCGAACAAAGGGAAGGGUCUUCUUCGGCGGAUCCCUCUUGUUCCUGUUUAGUCUCCUUCAUUUCGGAAGUUGUUUCUACAUUGAUUUCUUCAGAUAUUGGGCAGGCUUUUCUAAUAGGGCACUCAAUCAAUCCCCAAUCGAUCCUUCGCUAGUUACGAGUUGCGAGCUACUCGUUCUCUUAAUCUCUUCCUAUCACUAGGUCCGUCUGUCGGAUUACAGUGCUCGCCAGCCUAUUCUAUCUUAGUGUCCAUCCGCCUUAACGUCUAUACAAAGGAUUAUGUAUGGGCAAUAUUGAAACUGUUCUUUCCAGUAGUUUUUUCUUUUUUCUUUUUUUUGCGGCCCGGUGCAGCUUAGCAUUGCUUUGUCAUGCUUUUGCCCGUUGCAGUAAAAUCCCCAUUUUUGCCUCCCGUAGGUGUUUGGGAUGUGUCUAAGUACCAGUGUGGCUGAUGGCGAGGCAUAUUCAGAUUGUCAAUAUGCCCACUAGCUCUGGAAAGACAUGCAUGCACACCUCCUUCCAUUGCCAUUACCUGCCUUUCCUACGGCGCUGUUUUUUCUCCUUCGGUGGUGUGUCAGCAUUAAGUCAAAUACUUGUCUUUAGAUCCAAAUCGAAUACUAGUUCUUCCGUUAGGCAGUUCCACUCAAUAGAAAAGUCGGUCCCAUACUAGUUCUAUACCAUAUGGAGCCACCGCCGCUUUUGUUGGUGUGCUCUCCUAUCAGUCUACCCUUUCUGACUGAAGAUUCUUGCUGCCGAAAUCCUUAGGAUUAGUGUUUGGCGGUUGGGUACCGGGUACCUGAUCCAUUGGAGAGCCUCGUACUGUGGUUUGUAGUUGAUUACAUAAGUAUGGUUCGGACAUUGAUUAUUAGUUUGUCACACCUGAAGAAAAUAUGAUUGUUGUAAAAUAUUUAUGCAAUCUAAUAUAUAUUCAUACAUUUCAUUCUUUUUAAAAUUAGAUGGUUCACGCCCUUAUUCACCAGCUCAAUUGGCUAAAUCUUAAAUGUCCUCCUCAAUGCUGUGAUGCUCAAUUCUGCUAUCAUGAAGUUGUAUGAGACUUGAAUGAAUCGGAGUUUCUGAUCAACCUGCCGAACUAAUUUCUGUACAUUCCUUUAAUACAUACAAAAUUUGCUCAUAGUAGGAAUUUGAUAUAAUAUAAUGCAGGACAAACGAAAGGGCUUUGUACAUCUCCUGGGGGGCGAUUCCCUCCAUUUUCAAACGAAGGGAAGCCUCCUAGAAGAGCACCGAAAGGACCAAGAGACUUGACGCUCUGUAGGGUCUUCCGGCAAAGUACAUGUUGUGAUGUAACCCAGACUUAUCCUGCCUUGUUGUCUGUAAGAAAGCUGGCUUCGACUGGAGAGGGAAGCCAAGAAUGUUUGCAUUUAUGGGAGCUAUUGGAGUGCUCCAUUUGUGACCUGCAAGUAGGAAUUCGGCCCGGGCCACCUACAAUAUGUGCCUCCUUUUGUGAUAUGGUUUUUGAGGCCUGUUCAAAUGCUUAUUAUUCUGUCGAUAUAAAGAAUCAGGUAACUAUAACUUUAAAUUUUAACGUUUGAUUUAGAUGUAUUAACAAGGAUGUACAAGUUGUCUUGUCCUUUAGUUCACUAACCAUCUCUCUGUAGUUGGCUAAUGAUGAUUUAUAUGGAGGCCCCUUAUUGUUCAGAAAAUUUCAAGAAUGCCCGUUACUUUUAGCCUUUUUAAAUAAACCGUCGCUUUUAAGUUGUCUUUCCAAUAAAGGUUCUUGCUGUUUUAACUUGUCAUUCUCCUUUUUUGUACUUUUCCCUUUGAAAACAGUAAACUUCAUAAGUAUACAGGUAUCACUUUACUAAAAUUUUACCAAUCUGAUGAACAUUACUCGAUUUUUCCGAUCUAAAUCAAGCAGGUUUAUGAAGUUUAGAUGACUAAGUUUAUAAUAAAGGGAUAAAUGUCUCGACUGGUGCUAGCAUAUUAUUAAAUUCCUCUUAAGGAUGCUUUGUGGGGUCUUUAAAGGAAAAAAAAAACUUUAAGCUAAGGGAUGUAUUUAAGAACAUAAAAUUUGUGCUUUCCUGAAGUUGUCUGAAUAAUGGGAGAGCCUUCAUAUAAAUUUCCAUAAUCAUGCACACACCUAGAGGAAAAACCCUGCUUUUUAAGAGCUUUGUGAGCCUUGUGGCUGGUUUUCUAUAUUUUAUUUUUACAUAUCCUUCAUAUAUAGCGAAUUCACAGAUUCAACUUUCGGAGACGAUUUCUAAUAGAUUUUGGUUCCUACUUUCUCAGUUGUUGUCUCCAUGUGGCUUAAACGACAUAGUCUGUGGUAGAGCGAGCGAAUGGGUCUCUAACGGUACGGAGCUCUGUCACCUUGCGGGUUUCGCUGUGCAACCGGCUAAUAAUAAUAUUGGUUUUGAGAGUGUCGAUGAGCCUUUCUGCUAUGGUGGGAAAGCAAGCUUGCAUUCGAUCUCUGAUUCAUGGAGGGCUUCUUCACAAGCUCGUUCGGAUUCGCCCACCUUGAACUCGAUAUUGCUCGAAGACUUUCAACAAUGGUUGAGGGAUAUGCCGCUUAGUGAAAAGGUUUCAUGGGCAGUUGGAGGACUGGUGCUUACUGCAGGGCUACUUGUUAUCAGGUUUGUCAUUUUGAACCCUAAAUAUAUAUCUACGGCACCAAUAAUUUUACAAAUAAUUAUAUUAGUUCAUGUGAGAAGCUUCUUUUCGGAUGGUGAAAGGUAAAUGCUAUUUUGUUAGAGCAUCACAGUAACUGCUGCUAUUUUCUUUGUCGAAGUGCCAAAUUAAUGAUAUCGACUUGUCGUUGAACUGAAAGAAGUUCGACUGAGUUUACCGGACGUAUGAGGGCUAAGCUUGGAUUUGCUUUGGGAUUGAUGGCAUGUUUUAUCAUCUCUAAUCCAUGAGAUUCAGUCUUGUUCAAACCCAAAUUUAAAGAAAGAUUAUUGGCGAUAAAGCUAGUACAGUUUUCGUAGUUUUUUCUUUCUAUUGAUCAGUUGAUAGUAAUGUACAGUUGUAUUACUAGAUAUUCGUUUCUUUUUGUUUUUCAUUCUUAUGAAAGCACGAUGUAAUACGCGUAUUCCUUUAUGCAUAUGCAGCAAAAGGAAGAGCUAUAGCCAACGGCAGAAGCAAGCGGCUAUCCUUCGCACCGCUCGGAGGCUGGAAGAAAAAGCCAAGCAGCGGUCACCUAAUCCAAGGAGAUAGAAGUUCCAGAAAAUUAAUGUACUCUUUUUUCUUUUUUUUUUUGUUUCCUCUCACUCUCCACAUUCUUAGUUUUUCGUCUUGUUCCCAUGUUAAACGGUGUUUGUUGGCGGAAGCAAACCUCUCUUACUUAAAUCAAAUCUGAUCCUAAAAGCUACAAAUUCUGCGAUCGGACGGGGUAUAUGCACUUUGUAGAGAACUGAUUCAAAUUUGUAUCAUGCUAUGUCCAUUUAGUUUUUAAGGAUCCAAAUCUGGUUUCCGCGUUAGGACUUGGAUCAGGUUGGUCUGUUGAUAUUUCCACCAAGGAAUCUAGUUUUACACCAAGUUCUCUGCUUCCAAAUCAUUUUUAAUUUUACUUCUAUUUUCUUGUUUGCUGAUUUUGUUGGAAAGAAUUGUGAACAGUUGUGAUAGCUCUUUGUUCCGUUCCUGAGCUUAGUAGGGCAUCUUGCUGUUCUUGGUAUUUACAUGAUUAUGACACUGCUGCACUUAUUAUUGGUGAGCCCAGGUCCGACUUAUUGAAUACUGACUCAUUUUAUCUCGUGGUUUCUGUGCCUCGAAACAUUUUUGAGUGAUUAGAAUAAAGCAAUAUGAAUGUAGAAUCAAGCUUGUGAACAGAGUUGGGUUCUUUUAUUUUGUACAAAUGCGGAUGCAAUUGUGACGCCCUACUUUCUAGACGGUGAUCAUCUAUUCUAAAACUAUUCUAGCUCUAGCAUGCUUAACCCUCUACCGUCCAAAAUGGUAUAGCGAGAUUAAGACACUCACAAGUAUCAGAUCAUGUGAGAUUUAUAAUCUUAGUUUAACUGAGAUUCAUUUCACAUUGUUUGCUAUUAAUUGGCUCUGACACUAACUGUAACACCCCAUACAUCUAGGUUAGCUGUUUCUAUCAUUUGCUAUCCUUAUUUCUUAUUUCGGCUGGCUUCGGAGAACUAUUCUAUUGUGAGAAACGACUUGAGGUUUGCCAAACUUUCCAAAAAGCUGAAAUGACCUUUUGGGCUUAAAAAAUGUAAGCACUCCUAGCUCUGCCUGACUGAAAAGCUGUUAAGAGAAUUUUAGUGAAAAUAAUUUUAGUGCUUAUUUGACCUCCUGCAUGGGUGAAAAUUUUCCCAAGACUGAAAAAUUUCUUACAUGCAUUAUGAUUCCUAAGCAUCUUGAUUGGGACAACCAGUGGAUCUAAACACAUAUCUUUCAAAUAUUUUAACAAAUUUGACCAACCCCCAAAAUUUUCAACCAUCUGCCAGUCUGCCACUACAAACCAGAAAGAGAAGAAAAUAAUAUAGGGAAAACUUCAAAAAGCCCCUAUGUGGUUUUAUACUUUUUCAUUUUAGUACCAUGUGGUUUAAAUUGUAUCAAGUUAGUACCCUGUGAUUUCUCACUUUAUCACUUUAGUACCCUGUAGUUUAAAGUGUAUCAAAUUAGUACGUUGUGGUUUUGUACUUUAUCACUUUAGUACCCUGUGGUUUCACACUUUAUCACUUUAGUACCCUAUAAUUUAAAAAACCACAGGGUACUAAUUUGAUACAAAAUCAAAACCAUAGGGUACUAAAGUGAUAAAAUGCAAAACCACGGGGUACUAACUUGAUACACUUUAAACCACAGGGUACUAAAGUGAUAAAGUGAGAAACCACAAGGUACUAACUUGAUACAUUUUAAACCAUAGGAUACUAAAGUGAAAAAAAUUGAAACCACAAGGGGGUUUUUUGAAGUUUUCCCUAAAAACAAGCUCCUGAAACAUUCUAGCAACUUCUACAUAAUAUCAUAAAACCUAGCUUCUCAUAGAAAAGAGCACACACAGAAUCCGCGGAAAGUAGAAAAUUCUACAUGAUAUAAUCCCACAUGAACACUAAUCUGAUCAAAAAAGAAGGCACAAAAAGCAGGCAAAAUGUGUUCCAUAAUCUAAAGAUAAUGUACAGCCCUAAAGUGAAAGGGCUUUAAAAUUCUCUCUCCCUACUUCUUUGCAUAUGUAAUAAGCAUCGGGUUCUGCUGCGUGAUUUUGAAACCUUGAAGGCCCUGCAUGGCCACGGUCGCCUGCAUCUCGUCGCCAUACUCGACGAAAGCAAUCCCGGGCUUCGCCUCGAUCAUCCUCACUUCUUUAAAGCCAGGAUACUGUAUGAAGAGCAUCUGGAGCAUCAUAGGUGUAGUUUCGUGCGGGAGAUUCUGAACGAAGAGUAUAUUGUUUGGAAGGGCUGGUGCUUCCUGAAGCAUAGACUUGGCACCUCCAGAGUAUGGCAACUGAGAGAGCUGCAACAUUUAUAUUUUCAAUCCGUAGAAAGAAGUAGAAUAAGUGGAAAUGAAAAAAAAUUCAACGAUGGUAAAUAUGCAGACUUGCAGAGGACCCCCAUGUACUAUCAUACUUCUACAGAUGGCAACCCUAACUUUCUUGAGUAGGAAGAAAAUUAAAGAACACUAACAAUUAGCCAGUUGCUACUAACCCACCUAUCCUUUAUUUUCCUCAAUCUUGUGCAACAAAAGCUAGCACGUGAGUACGUGACUACCGCACGAAUCGCAUGACCCUUAAAAGCUUGGUUUUUCAUCAUGCUAAGGUAAGUUUAGGUGCAUUUAAAUCAUUUGGUUUUCAUGUUUACCAAUGGCUGUGAUAGAUAAUGACAGUAAAAGGGAAGGUUGCUCCGGUAGAUUUGUUAACUUCUCAAAGUUUGGGUGACAAUUGACAAUCUUUAAAAGCAUGAUAAAUCAGGAGGCGUUUAUCCCUUGAAAGAAACAAGUGCUAUAAUCUACAAGCAAGAUCAUAAGCAAUAAAACAAGCAUGUAAAAGAGAAAUAGAAAAAGGGGAUUUUAUGCAUUUUGUAGCACUGAGUUUAUCGAAAGUAGUCAAUGAUGUAAUGUUCAUGUCCUACAAUGAAUUUCAUUGCAGCAUAUUUGUAGUGCAUAACAAGUAGCUUCAUCGCCUUUUCUUUUCUUAUUAUUUGAGAGUGUGUGAAAGCACGUGGUAAUGUUACUUUGAUUUGUGGAUUAGAUAAGAUGAACACAUUUUGCAUAUUUGCAAAAAAUGGUAAACAUAAUAAAGAAAAAUCUUUAAGUUCCUUGUAAAUUUAAAGAUGAUUGAUUCAGAUCUUAUGCCAAAGUUCAACAAAAUAAGAUAUUAAAUAGAAACAAUACUUACAGGUGGAGCUCCAUAAACACCAGGAUAAGAGGAAUUCAAACCCAGACCAACUUGAUUGGCAUCAUGGUGCUGUUCCCGCCUCUUUCUUUCAGCUGCAUUUAUACAAGAACCAACAAAGCAAUGAGUUGCCUUAACCACAUUAAUCCAACUUAACUUGCACAAACAUAUGAAAGAUUCUAUUUAAGAAACCACUCAUUCAUUUUACACAAGAGGCAAGUAUGUGAUGUAAAGUGAGCGAAUAGAAUAAGUUAGACAUCUAAAAGUUCAUGCAAGUAUAACUAACAACUCGGUAAAAACAAUCAGAAAUAGAGUAACUCACUUGGACAUAUACACAACAUGAUUGAAAGACGAUGACAAGAAAAUAUAGAGAGUGUACGUUCAACAAUAAGUGUUAAUGGACAUGUAGAUUUACAUAUAAUGAGGCCUAAUGACAUUACACACUUGAAAUCAAAUAUGAUGUGCUCUUAGCAAUGAUGAAGUGGUGCAUUCGAAAAGCAGUAGGACACAUCUUCUUUGGUCCUUGAAAACAUCACACCAGCAAAAAGGCUAGAUUUUAACCAGGGCCUGUUUGGCCUGAAUGGAGCUUCUGCGAGAUUGGUAUUUCAGUAGAGUUAUUCGAAGCAGCAUUAAUAACAUCAUUAAACUAUCUCAAGAGCUUGUGAUAUUCUCAAAUUAGGCAUUUUGUUCUUCACACUUAGAAGCUCAUUGUAACUUUCUAGGAUAGCAAAAGCUCCAGAUUCUUUGUUUGUCAAAUAUCUAUCAGUCGUUUCUCAGGAUGGAGAAGCUAUUCCAUAACGCAGAUCAUUUGGGCACAGAAGUAACAUCAACAUAAGUGAUCAGCUAUAUAAUUUGGGGCUGAACAUAGCUAACAGAGAUUCACACCACAUAUUUUUGCUCUUUAUCUCAAUGUCUACCAUGAAAACAUCCAUAUUGUCGAAACACAAGUUCGUUUACCUAUUUGCAUUUCCUUAGCAUUUCCUUCCUAAGGAAAUGCUCUAGCUGUCUCAAUGUCUUCCAAAAAUUUAGACGUGGAUAAAAUAUCAGUAAAAGAUACAAGUUUAAUGAGCUAAAACAGCAUAUGAAGUUCAAGAAAUACAACCACAUCACAAGCCUCAAAAAAUAAAACCACAUACUUAGUCUACUUUUACAUAGAAAAUUACUCAAAAGCAAGGAGAAGACAAAAUACUUCUCCAACCGUGCUAAAUAAUGUUGAAGACUAAAUAACAAUAAAGAUAGCAGUAAAUAGUUCUAGUUCUGACCUCUAUCAUCAUGCCUCUUCCGUCUUUCUCGAGGGACAAAAGUUCCAUCAGCCUUUGCUAUUAUGUCUGAUUUGGUCUUAGCAUACUGAAUUCUCUGUAAUCAACAAAAACAUUCAAACCAUUUUUUUUUUAAACGCAAAACAACUGCUCUCAGUUUAGCAAGAGUGCAGGACAAUACAAUAAAAGGAACUUGGAUAACCAAAUACUAAGUGUUAUAAAGUGUUCACCAGUUCAUCCAGAUUAUAAAAGCGUUCACCAGUUCAUCCAAAUUUAGGAGACACUUUUGCUUUAAACAAUCAUUUACAUAAAAAUCCGGAUGUUAGGAGAAGAAACUCCAAAUCUGACUGUCAAUCUAUUUUGAAGAUGAUGACCUGCUUGCUUUUCAAGAAUUUUGGUGACUUCAGUAGUUUCAAAUGAAACAUAAGGAAUACUGACACAUCCAACUCAAUAGCUAUGAAUCUCAACACGCCCACAACAGCUGGACUAGAUUGGACAUUCCCCUAACACCUAACAAAAGGUUCCAAUUCAAAUUCCUAAAUAACCAAAAAGUUUGUAACACUAACGAUAAAUAUAUUAUAGUUGGUUUCAAUAUAGUGAACUUACCAUAGGUUUGUCGUAGAAGGGAAAUCCUUGCAUCCGCUUGAGAGCCUCACUUGCUGACGAAACAUCCUCAAAUACUACCCAUGCUUGUCCUUUGUGUUUUAAUGUUUUAAAAGCAAGGACUUCUAGUAUCUUCCCAAAUUGAGAGAAAACAGCAUGCAGCGACUUCUUAAGUUCUGAAAAGGCAAAAAAAAAAUCAUUAACCAAAACUAAAAGAAAAUGAUGACACAGAAAUCAACAACAUUAUAUAUAUGUAGUAUAAAUAGUUAAAUGUUUUUUCAGUAACAUUUGGUUCCUAAAUAGAAGAAAACCUCAAGAAGUAUAAAUGAGCAGAGCUCAUUUAUUAAUCACCUAAGAAAAUCUAAAGUCUUAUGAAGUUUUAGACCUUUAGAUUCCCUAACUGCCUUCAAGUUGUGUAACAAAACUCACUCCUUUUAGCAAUAGUUGGGCAAAGAUCUCAUGCAUUGCAUAUUAGUCGAUGUCAAAACCUAAUAUGUAAUCGCAAUCAUUUCAAACCAUAUGGCAUAUGCUAUGCUAUCUUUUAGUAUCAUUUAAGAAUUGGUAGGAUCUGGCAGACAAAAUAUAUGGCAGCUAAUAUAAUAUGCGUUGUUUUUCAAAGUUUUUUUUCGGCAGUCUCAAAUGACCAGAAACUCAAGCGAGCAGAAUUCUAUCAGAGUAAAAUUCAAAAACAAAUAUUAGCAGCGAGUUUGCACCCUUUUAUAGUGGAGAGUGAAUAGCAGCCUCAGCCAUCUUGGAGCACUGAGGACAUAAAGGCUGCCAGCCAGUCAGACCGAAUACAUCCUAAUCAACUAUCCACCUUCCAGGAAUUUUUAGGCAGACAACCAAUUGUUCGUAUGUUUAAUUUACCAAUUUCUCAGAAAAUGAUGGCUCAACAUGGUAUAUCUAACCACUGCUCCAAACAAUUAGUCAUUUGUAGUAUUAAAUAAAUUUCAGUUGAUAUGUUAGCAUUACAUAAAUUGCAAUUGUUUAAUUAACAAUUUCACAAAAAUGAUAGGUUCAGUAUCAGUAUAUCUAAUCACUUUUUGAAACAAUUACUAAUUGUAGCAUUACAUAAGCCUCAAUUGAUGUGUGCUACCGCUACGCAACAGUUCAUUGAGUCAUCAUUCGAAAAAGCCAAUGCUCAUCCUUCACAGCAAAUACUAAUCUUUUCCUUUUUAAACCACUCCACCUAAAAAUGCGCUAGUAUCUAUUGACCUUCACCAAAGCAUCGAACCAACACAGGUGUAUAGAAUUUACCGCGAAGAACUCGAACAAAAAGGAAGCAAGCAAAGAUUUUUAUUACUUAAAUGGGUAUGCUGAGCACAAAAUAGAGUGUUCCUCGCAAAGUAAAGCCAUGUAGAAACAAUUAAUUGUUAGCAUUAGAGAGCGAGACAAGUGAAGAGAACAAGCACAAGCAAAUAUCAACAUAUAACAUAUUAAACCCUAUGUGAAGCUCAGAUGUUCGACAAAAAGCCCAAACGAGAGACGGGUCAUUCAGCGACGAACAAUGACGUAGCGGAAGUGUUGCUAGGGUUUCGGAGCGGAAAAGGGAUUAAACGUCACAGAAAAAACAAAAAAUACCAAAGAGAAGAGGAAAAAAAGGGGAAAAUGGGGGAGGGUACCAUCGAUUUUGAUCUUCUCGUUGAGGUUGUUGAUGUAGAUGGUCAUGUUGGGAGGGAUCGUCGGGGCUUCGCCAUCGCCGCUCAUCUCUCUCUCUCUCUCUCUCUCGCUCUUUCGCUCUAACGGGAGGGGGAAGAGUGUUUCUUCUCUUUUGUUUUCGUACGAGAGCGCCGGUUCGAACCGGUGGUUUGGACCAUCACUCUUUGUUUUCGUUUUUUUUGGGGAUAAAAUAUGUAUGUCUUUUUUUUUUGGGGCCAAUUUAUAUAAAAAAUUCACAAAUUUUCAGUUGCAAGACUAAGCCACUAAAUUAAAUUUUGCAGAUUCCGUCCGAAUUUUUAGAACACUGAUCAAAAUAUUCUUAUUCUCUUUUCUCUCUCUUCUUCUUUUUUACGUUUUUUUUUUCUCUCCGAUCCUCCUCCACCGCCUCCGUGACUUUUUUCGAUGGCAACAAGAUGGCCCGCCUUCUCUUCCUCCGCUUGUUUUCUUUUAUGUUUUUUUUUCUCUUCGACUCUUCUCUAUCGCCUCCGCGCGCGGUCUUCUGCGACGAUAAUGACGGCGGUACCACCUCCUCUUCCGAUGCCGGCGCCGGAGGAGAAGGAUUCAAAGUGAGUGCGGAUGAGAACAGAAUGAACGGAAGCGAUAAAGUCGUGACCGAGAUAGUGUUCGCUGUUGCUCGUGAGGGUGAGAACAAAAACAUGCCCACGUUUCUCCCAGCUCCUCUUCCGAUGCCAGCGCCGGAGGAGAAGGAUUCAAAAUGAGUGCGGAUGAGAGUAGAACGAACGGAGGCGAUAAAGUCGUGAUCGAGAUAGUGUUCGCUGUUGCUCGUGAGGGUGAGAACAAAAACAUGCCUGUGUUUCUCCAAAAAGCGCUUUCAACAAAAGCGAUGGUUACUAUAGAGGACGAGACAGAGACUGUGACAAUAAUUUUUUUAUCUUUUUUAUCUUUUAUUGCCAAUUCUCUCUCAUCCUCACCAAUCAUGCAAACAAAUUUACAAAAACAUAAAGAAUAAAUAAAAUCCCACCAAAUCACACCAAAUUUUCUGUGUAAUUAACAAGUUUUAUGAAAAUGAAAAAAAAAGAGAAAGAAAAUCCCACCAAAUCACUCAUUAUAUUGAAAUAACAGCACAAAAUUUAAUUAAAAAAAUCUGAUUUAUAUAAGAUGCCCUAAUUGAAAAAAAAAAUCCAAAAAAAAGAAAGACGACGCACCGAAGGAGAAGAGUUGCGCGAUCGAAAUGAGCGAAGAAUCUAGACGAAGGGCGAUGUGGUUAGGCAACUGGUGGGGGCGGCGCAGCGUGGGGAGAGAAUAGAGAGAAGGUGGAUUGGAGGGUAGGGUUGAGGGUGGGAUGAGAGGAAGAUGAUGGGUUAGGCAGCAGUGGGAUUUUUUUUGUUUUUUGUGUUUCUUUUAGGGCAUCAAUUCCUUUUCCCUACUUUCCCCCCCUUUCUCUUUCAGGUUGCUCCGUUAACGUCCGUCCGUCAAAAAAAAGUUACGACUACUCCUCCCAAUAUCGCACGAAUCUCGAAGCAUGAUGAAAGGUUUAAAAGUUAAUAGGACAAGGGCUGUUGUCCUAUUAAGAGGAGAGCAGCCCUACUCUCUCUCUCUCUCUCUCUCUCUCUCUCUCUCUCUCUCUCUCUCUAUAUAUAUAUAUAUAUAUAUAUAUAUAUAUAUAUAUAUAUAAAAUUGAGCUCCUAUGCUUUUAAAAGUAUCAAGUUAUUGGUGCUUGUAGAUUUUUAACCAUUGGAUUAAGAGAUAUGCGGUUAGGAUGAUGUGGGCCCCCUAGGGUUGAGUGGGUGGUUGGUUGAAUAGUAUAAUCUAAUGGUUGAAAAUGAUCAGAGAAGUAGAUCUAACGGUAAAAAACUUACAAGCACCAAGUAUUUGGUGCUUUUACAGGCACCAUAGCUGGACUAUAUAUAUAUAUAUAUAUAUAGUUAGACUGGGCUACUAUUAGUAGCAAAUCCCAUUGUUGCUACCAGUUUUUUAGCCUUUGGAUCAACUCUUUUGAUUAUUUCUAACCAUUAGAUUAAAUACUAUAACCCAGUGGGAAC